GACGAACGCUGGCGGCGCGCCUAACACAUGCAAGUCGAACGGGGUUAUAGCAUGAAGCUGGUUUCGGCUGGUGGAUUGCUAUGACUUAGUGGCGAACGGGUGAGUAACACGUGGGUAACCUGCCCUUAGGAUUGGGAUACCCCCGAGAAAUCGGGUUUAAUACCGGAUAUCAUUCCAGGGUGAAACCCCCCGGAAUAAAAGCUGCGAGCAAUCGUGGCGCCUUAGGAUGGACCCGCGGCCUAUCAGCUAGUUGGUGAGGUAAUGGCUUACCAAGGCUAAGACGGGUAGCCGAACUGAGAGGUUGAUCGGCCACACUGGAACUGAGACACGGUCCAGACUCCUACGGGAGGCAGCAGUGAGGAAUUUUGCGCAAUGGGCGAAAGCCUGACGCAGCGACGCCGCGUGGGGGAAGAAGGUUUUCGGAUUGUAAACCCCUUUCAUGAGGGAAAAAGCCCCGAGCAAUCGGGGUGAUGGUACCUCAAGAAGAAGCCACGGCUAACUCUGUG
rnacentral:rRNA from 1 species